AAUGGGCGAAAGCCUGACCCAGCCAUGCCGCGUGAAGGAUGAAUGCCCUAUGGGUUGUAAACUUCUUUUGUACGGGACAAAACUCUCGAACGUGUUCGGGAUUGAUGGUACUGUAUGAAUAAGCAUCGGCUAACUCCGUGCCAGCAGCCGCGGUAAUACGGAGGAUGCGAGCGUUAUCCGGAUUCAUUGGGUUUAAAGGGUGCGUAGGCGGAAUAAUAAGUCAGCGGUGAAAGCCUGCGGCUUAACCGUAGAAUUGCCAUUGAUACUGUUAUUCUUGAGUAUAGUUGAAGUAGGCGGAAUGUGUAAUGUAGCGGUGAAAUGCUUAGAUAUUACACAGAACACCAAUUGCGAAGGCAGCUUACUAAGCUGUUACUGACGCUGAGGCACGAAAGCGUGGGGAGCAAA
rnacentral:rRNA from 1 species